GCCGGGCGUGGUGGCUCACGCCUGUAAUCCCAGCACUUUGGGAGGCAGAGGUGGGUGGAUCACUUGAGGUCAGGAGUUUGAGACCAGCCUGGUCAACAUGGUGAAACCCCGUCUCUA
rfam:Chlorocebus sabaeus isolate 1994-021 chromosome 2, whole genome shotgun sequence.